ACAGUGAGUUACAGUUACAUGGAGAUUUCAGCGGGCGUGCCAUCCCGUGACCAAACAAUGGCAACAAUGGCAACAAUGGCAUCUGGAGGAGACCCGCUGCGAUGGCCGCCCCUGGGUAUCUGGAAGGAGUUGGAGCGAGACCAUCUGCAGCUGGAGGAGAUAGAGGAGAUAGUCUGGUCAGCCACCAAGAAGUACACGAGGGCAAGAGCUGCUCCUACAAACCCUCCGCAACGGAAGGUACUGGUGGCUUGGGGACCGAGCUCCCGACCCCUGC